rnacentral:rRNA from 1 species
GUGCCAGCAGCCGCGGUAAAACGUAGGAGGCAAGCGUUAUCCGGAUUUACUGGGUGUAAAGCGCGUGCAGGCGGUUUAUUAAGUUGGGUGUGAAAGCUCCUGGCUCAACUAGGAGAGGUCGCUCAAGACUGAUAGACUCGAGAGCAGUAGGGGAAGGUGGAAUUCCGGGAGUAGUGGUGAAAUGCGUAGAUAUCCGGAGGAACACCAGUGGCGAAGGCGGCCUUCUAGACUGUAUCUGACGCUCAGACGCGAAAGCUAGGGUAGCAAACGGGAUUAGAGACCCCGGUAGUCCUAGCCGUAAACGAUGUGAACUUGGCGCUGGCUGGGUAAAACCGAUCAGUGCCGAAGCAAACGCGAUAAGUUCACCACCUGGGGACUACGGCCGCAAGGUUAAAACUCAAAGGAAUUGACGGGGGCCCGCACAAGCAGCGGAGCGUGUGGUUUAAUUCGAUGCUACACGAAGAACCUUACCAGGGCUUGACAUGCAUGUGGUAGCGAAGCGAAAGCGGAGCGACCCUUCGGGGAGCAUGCACAGGUGCUGCAUGGCUGUCGUCAGCUCGUGUCGUGAGAUGUUCGGUUAAGUCCGCUAACGAGCGCAACCCUCGCGUGUGUUAUACGUGUCACGCGGAACUGCCAGUCUUAAGCUGAGGAAGGUGGGGAUGACGUCAAGUCAGCAUGGCUUUAUGUUCUGGGCUACACACACGCUACAUGUCAGUACACAGGAGCGAGCCGCGAGGCGGAGCCAAUCCCUAAAAGCUGGUCUCAGUUCAGAAUGCAGGCUGCAACUCGCUUGCAUGAGAAUGAAGUUGCUUAGUACCGCAUGACAGCUUAUACUGCGGUGAAUACUGUUCCGGGCCCUG